rnacentral:tRNA from 1 species
GGAGGCGAAUGUGUCCUGGUGGGUGCCCUGGACUUCAAAUCCAGUGGGGGGCGGUAUAGGCUGUCUCCGGUGGGUUCGAUUCCCACACGCCUCCGCCA